rnacentral:tRNA from 1 species
GCACGAGUAUCCGAGUGGUCAAAGGAGCCGGACUCAAAAUCCGGUCGCUUAGUGCGUACGUAGGUUCGAAUCCUGCCUCGUGCA